rnacentral:rRNA from 1 species
UACGUAGGGGGCAAGCGUUGUCCGGAAUCAUUGGGCGUAAAGCGCGUGUAGGCGGUCCGAUUAGUCGGCUGUGAAAGUCAAGGGCUCAACCCUUGAAUGCCGGUCGAUACUGUCGGACUAGAGUCCGGAAGAGGCAAGUGGAAUUCCCGGUGUAGCGGUGAAAUGCGCAGAUAUCAGGAGGAACACCAAUAGCGAAGGCAGCUCGCUGGGACGGUACUGACGCUAAGGCGCGAAAGCGUGGGGAGCGAACAGG